UGGCGUGAAGCACUGAAGGGCUGCGUCAGCCAUCGGUUCUAGCCCUGUUAAAUUAAUUUUGCUCCGGUUUUUAAUUUAAUUAAGAUACAGUCUUCCUUUAUUUCCUUGUUAAUGUUAAUGGAAUUGUUAACUACAGUAAGAUAGCUGUGUUAUAAGGAGACGAGCUUCGAGUCAGAAGCGUGAAUUUUAACGUUCAUUUCAAUGAACUUUGGCCCGCAAGAUACUUUCGUGCCGUUUUUUAACUCCAACCCAGACCAAACGAGGAUCUUGAUUAGCUUGUUCAGGUGUGUUUUAUCAGGGUUGGAGCUAAACUCAGCAGAAAAGUGGACACUGCUACAGUUCAAAACUUCCGGCCGGUCUGUCGCUAUUAAAACUGUGCAAAGACACAGUUGCAGUGCAGCGGUUUUUUUAUGUUUACUGUGACGCAUGCGCUGGAUUAAAGUGAUGAUAGCACAAGGUUACAUUUUAGUAAUCAAAUAUUUUAAAGCCAAAAAUGUUACGUGUGUGUUUAACGUUAGGUGUGUUUAAGGCAUAGUUGGUUUACGAAGUGUUAUUUAUGCUUUGUUUUUUUUUAAUCCCCAGAUAACCAUGGUUGAUAAAUGGUCAGUAGAUGACACGUGCCACUGGCUUGAAACUAUAGACCUCAUUGAUGCAAAAGAAAGUUUCAGAGAUUCUGCAUGAAAUGACAAUGAGGUUUGGAACCGACUUGGUGAAGAACAUGGAAACAUCUCUGAAUGAAAUGGCCCCAAACAUCAUCAGGAGUGCAAAAGAAGGAAGUCAAAAAAAAAAAAAAACUACGUCAAUCUCAUUGGACUAGCAGAGGAAACCACAGAAGGUCUCGUUAGGAAUGCUGCACUCAUUUUAUUGCCAGCACUAUUUAAAGAAAACGCCAGCUUCCUCUACUGUGUAGAUAGUGAACCCAAAGGUGCUACACCAACCAUAGUGUUUAACGGCUCUCCUGAUCCCCUCAAGGCUGAAAGUGUCAGCAUUAUAAUGGACAAUGUGAACAUCAUAAGAGAGGCAGACAUUGACAUGACACAGGCUGUGGAAUGCCUAUUUGCAGUCUAUUUUCUCUUCAAUGUGCAGUACCCGGUUGACAUUAAGCACACAAUGACUUUUAUUUAAAAAUAUAUGCUUAACCUUAGACAACAGCACGGCAAAAGAACACCAAUGCAUGUACUGAAAAUGUAUAGUCAACUUGUGUAAAUUGUAGAGCUAUUUAAUAGUUGUUUUAACUGUUCAUGUAUUGA